rnacentral:tRNA from 1 species
GGAGAGAUGGCCGAGUAGGCUGAAGGCGCUCGCCUGCUAAGCGAGUGUUCCGCCAAAAGCGGAACCGCGGGUUCGAAUCCCGCUCUCUCCGCCA